rnacentral:lncRNA from 1 species
ACAACAACAACAACAACAACCGUUGAGCCAGGUCUCCUUCCAGCAGCCUCAGCAACAAUAUCCAUCAGGCCAGGGCUCCUUCCAGCCAUCUCAGCAAAACCCACAGGCCCAGGGCUCUUUCCAGCCUCAACAACUGCCCCAGUUUGAGGAAAUAAGGAACCUAGCGCUACAGACGCUACUUGCAAUGUGCGAUGUCUAUAUCCCUCCAUAUUGCACCAUUGCUCCAUUUGGCAUCUUUGGUACUAACUGAGAAGAGAAGAACUCUAGUAGUAGAUAUAUGAUACACCGUUUUCUUAGUCCAUGGUUUGGUCGUUGUAGCGGUGAAAAAAUAAAGUGACAUGCACUAUCAUGUAAGAACCCGAACUAUACUAGUUCAAACUUGGGAAUAAAAGACAAACACAGGUCUUGUCUACAUAUGAUUGUUUGUUUGAGUUCCACUCAUGUGCCCAUUCACAAGUUCACCCCUAAUUAUAUAUAUUAUGCAUUAAGUAGAUAUUUAUGUUGCAUUAAUCUAAAGAUAACAAAAUGAGUCUGAAAUUUGAAUUAAAUUGAAGUAUUUCCUUGGACUUUCAAAUGGAGUAUUAUUAAAGUAGUAAGGACUAUCCUCAUCCUUGGCUUGCCCUUGAUCAAUUAUUUCCAGAGAAGCAUUCAAUUCGUCAAUCAAUUACAUUGAUUUUUGCAGCCGGUACUUCUCCUCAACAUGAGUAUAUUCAUCGCGGCUACUCCAAAUCGGCAUGAAUGAGGUACCGGUGCUCUGGAGCACUAGUACCUAACAGCUUCUCAUGUGAAGGGGUGCGGGCACGGGAGAGGUGUUUUUGGUGGGCCAGGGGAGUAAGAAGCGGCCGUGGCAGCGGUGCAGACACCCACAAAGCCCCGUAGUUUGUUUUUCGUUUACAGGAAAAUGCACAUCCAGACCGGCCUGCGGGCCGAUAUAGGACCGUAUUGGAUGGCAAAACAUGUCCGGAUGGUUGCGAGCGGUUUGAGGGUUAGCUUUUGUAACGCCCGGUUAGUUAUGCUAUUGUAAUUCCCUGCUAAUGAUGUCACGUAACCACGAUUACUAUUGUUAACCUCACAAUGAUUCAAUCCCAUUCAAAUUCAAAUUUAAAAUAAAGGCAAACAUCAAAAUUUCCAAACAUUAAAACUUAAAUCUUCGAGAGGUGGAAAAUAAUGCAUAAGUAAUUAUGGUGGAGAAACCACACUUUUAUAAAAUGUUUAAAUACUGUAAAAGAAUAAACAGUGGCUUAAACUAUUAUUUAAAUCCUUUUAAAAUAGUAAAAAUGUUCUAACUAAAUUAAUUGGGUACCAAACUUUUGGUGGCAGUGGUAUAUUUAGUAGAACUAAUUUAGAUGCUAAUUAUAUAAUUUACAAAAUUAAAGUAAAUUGAAAAAUAGGAUAAAACAUAAAAGGAAAGACAAAAUAAAUAAAAGCAAAAGGGGGCAACCCCUCGCUGGGCCUCGGCCUAACUGGCCACUGGGCUAGCUAGGCCGGCCCAGCCGCCUCCCUUAACCCCCCACUCCCCAUCGAACCCUGGCCCGAUCGCCCCACUUCCCCCACACCCCGUCGUCAGCCUCCCCACCUGUCGAUCCCAUCUGGAUCGGGGAGGGGAUCGCCCCCAUCAACCCCGUCGCCGUCUCCGGAUCGCCCGCUCGCCCAUCGCCCGCCGGAGUCGCCGGGCCUCCUCCCUGCCGCCCGUCUCCGGCUCGCCUCCUCUCUCGCUCCUCUUCCCUGACCCAAUCUGGAUCGGGAAGGGGCAAUGCGCCCGACGCCCCCCUUCACCGACGCCGUGCGCCAACACCGCCGCCCGAAGACCUCGCCGUCACCGGACCUCGCGUCGCCUCCUCGUAUCCCUCCCCGCCUCGCCUCAAGCCAUGACGACCCCCUUCUCGGCAACGCUGUGAGCCGCCCCCGUUUCCCUCCUCCUCUUUCCACCGCGUUCACAGCGUCGCCCGCCGUGCCCCUCGCCGCGCGCUCGCCCACCACCGCGCCAGCCCCGGUCCGCGCCCUCUCCUGCAUGCUUGCGUGCGCAUGACCCUAGCCGCGCCUGCGCCGUGAUCCCCUUAUCCNNNNNNNNNNNNNNNNNNNNNNNNNNNNNNNNNNNNNNNNNNNNNNNNNNNNNNNNNNNNNNNNNNNNNNNNNNNNNNNNNNNNNNNNNNNNNNNNNNNNNNNNNNNNNNNNNNNNNNNNNNNNNNNNNNNNNNNNNNNNNNNNNNNNNNNNNNNNNNNNNNNNNNNNNNNNNNNNNNNNNNNNNNNNNNNNNNNNNNNNNNNNNNNNNNNNNNNNNNNNNNNNNNNNNNNNNNNNNNNNNNNNNNNNNNNNNNNNNNNNNNNNNNNNNNNNNNNNNNNNNNNNNNNNNNNNNNNNNNNNNNNNNNNNNNNNNNNNNNNNNNNNNNNNNNNNNNNNNNNNNNNNNNNNNNNNNNNNNNNNNNNNNNNNNNNNNNNNNNNNNNNNNNNNNNNNNNNNNNNNNNNNNNNNNNNNNNNNNNNNNNNNNNNNNNNNNNNNNNNNNNNNNNNNNNNNNACCAAGACCCACAUCCCCUAAUUAACCAUUUAAUAAAUUUAAACUCUUAAAUUAACAUUAGUGUAUGACAUGUGGGUCCCCUAUUAAUUAAACUAAUUUAAUUAAAAUCUAUUAACUUCAAGUCUAUGACAUAUGGGCCCCACUGAACAUUUGACCAGUCAACGGUCCAGUCAAAUGUUGACCGGAUAGUUGACCAGAGGGCCCCACCAGUCAGCCUCUGUGCUGUUCUCCUGGGUACCUUUCUGAGUACACCUAGCAUUUUGCAUUUACAAUAUUUGUUUUAAAAUAAAUUAGAAUAAUUUCAAAAAAAUGAUUGAAACUUUUAAAAUUAAAAAAAAUUAUCCGUAACUCGGAUGAAAUUACUUUAUACAUGGAAGUUGCUCAAAAAAUGAGACGAAUCCUAAUACACAGUCCGUUCUUCUGCCACACGUCCCUAGCAUAGCGAACAUGCAACCACCCCCCUCCGGUUCGACUGUCCGAAAAUGUCAAACACCGGGAAUACUUUUCCGGAUGUUUCCCCUUCACUAGUAGCACCUAGUACCGCGUGAGGCAUACCUAGCACCACUUAUUGUAAUGUCAUGCAUCGUCAUGCAUCUGUUUGCAUUGUAUUCAUUGUUUCUUGCUCCUCUUCUCUCCGGUAGACUACGAGACUGACGCCGGUGCUGCCCCGGUCGAUUACGGUGUCCAUGACCCCUCCUUGUCAGCAGAGCUUCCAGGCAAGCAAACCCCCUUGAUCAUCCCGAUAUCGCCUACUCUUUCCUCUACUGCUUGCAUUAGAGUAUUGUUACUGUUUGUCGGUUUGAUCCUAUACUGCUGCAUGGCCUGUCUUUGAUACUACUUAUGUGUUAUUUGUUAGUACGCUUGGAGAAAAUGCCUUUGAUUAGGGCAUCUUCAACAGCGACCAGUAAAUUUCCUCCCGCGUUCGUCCACGAAUAGGGGAUCAGUCCGCGGACACGGAUACAGGAAUUGGCCAUCCAACAAUGUCCGCAUAUAUUUAAAACACUUAAAAAAUAGGAUGAAAUUCAUGCAAACACAGUGGAUUUCAUACAAACCGGACAAAAAUGUUUACAUUUUGGACAUUUUUUUUUUACUAAAAACUCUACAGCCGGUGCCGGCGAAUAUCCACUCCGGCAACAUGGAUACCCUUGACUAGUCUACUGCCGGCCGCAGCAGAUCUCCAAUGUCGUCCCCAUGUUCGGCAGCUGUGAGCCCUAGAGGUAUAUGCUUCAGCGCAAAGAGCGGCUCGCCUCCUACCGCUCAUCGGAGUGGAACAACCAGUUGAUGCUUCUGCCGAUGGGGAAGGGUCCCUACGCUACACGAAUUAGAGUUGGUUUUGGGUUGGGGGAACGGCGGUGGCCUGUCAGAGGGCAAGACACCGACUGUGUACGCUGGUGUCACCUGGUGUGGCAUUCAUGGGACCCAAGCGGCAGCGCCUCCUCAAUGAUGGCAGCGAGCGCGGACGUGUUGGACACCACCUCGUCGAUGUCCGUGCAGCCCGCUUCUUUCUCUGUAGGAAGGACGCGGUUACGCUCGCGUUGACAUCGGAUGACUCGGUCACAUGCACGAGAGGGGCGGUACAACAUGGCACCGUCAAUGGCAGCCAUGAUGCCCGCGCCACCGUGGUCCCUCCCAGUGCCGACCUGGAGCAACUUGCCACUCCUCGGCUCGUGACCGGCGGGCUUUACGGGCCACCUAGCCAUUUUUUAUGCCAGCCAACUCUUCUUCCUGCUCGUCAGAUGUCAUGGAGAAAACUGUUCAAGGAGGAAAAUGAUGAGUGGACGUGUGAUGCGCUUCUUGCCCAACAUCUGACAUUGUUUAAAUAGCGAGGGGACACGAGAGGAGCCAACCGGCGUUCUGUUCAAUGCCAACUGGCUCGCGAACGAACAUGUGGCCGGAGUAAUUAUCCUGGCACACACGCGGGUUUAAUGGUGGAAGGCGGGCAGUCUGCAGGAAUGAGGUGAGGAUGCGUGUUUAGCCGGCGUGCAGCGGGCAGCGCCCUCGGCCGGCGUGCUGCUUCCAUUGCGGAGGUAGUGAGAGGUCGCGUCCGCUCUGCAGCGCAUGAAUGCGGGCAGCUGGCGCAGAGCGGGAACGCGUGCAUGGUUUGGGUGGGCACGGGUGGUGAGAAGAGGUCAUGGGUGUUGUCCGAACGCCUGGAAAGCCCCCCCUCCAUGUUUGUCUCCGGUUUACGGGAGAAAGUACGUCCGGACCGUUUGAUGGACCAAUACAGGCCCGCAUUGGAUGGCACAACACGUCCGGACCAUGUGGUCCGGAUGGUUGUGGACGGUUUAAUUGAGGGUCGACGUUGGAGAUGCCUUAGAGUUUAUGAAUCCAUUGUGUUUUUUAAUCAUAAAAAGCACUUAUAACAAGUUAUAAGGAAAGACACGUUUAUAUGUUAGGUUCGGACUCCAGCUUUCCUCUUACAUAUGCUUUAUUGUGAUCCGACUGAUUCCAAUAGAGUGAGCCUAGCGUUGUUUUUCUGGAAACUUGCGGGAUAAGGAGACAUGCAUACACAUUCAUUCAAGCAAAUCACAUCCAUUCUUUUUAACUCAUUUUUCUUCUUUUAAUAAUAUAAUAGAUCAUUUAUAUUUUUAUCUCAAACAGUUGACGUGUAAUUUAUACUGUAAUCUGAGGAUAAUGUUUGGAUUUACUUUCAAAUAUAUUUGAAAUGGCCAUGAUGGAAUCACAUCCAUUUAUUUUAUUAUUAUUUGAAUUUGAUCCAAAAGAUAAAUAAUGAGUAGAGGUCAUGUCAACUUUUCUGAGAACUUUGCUAAUCAAAAUAUAAUUUGUAUUUAAAAACAUCUUUUUAGCACGCAUGAAAAACAUAACGCCUAUCUUUUCACACAUGAUGAACGGUUGUCAUAAGAACUCAUGGCAUGCCACAAGCUCCCUCCGACCCUGCCAACAUUGUUACAGCUGCACUCGCAAGCUUUAUCGUAGAUGAUCAUUUAUACGAUUUGCGUAAAUCAAAAUAAGAUCUACAAACGAAUAGAAGCUAGAACGUACCUUGGCAUGCACACACAUUGCAAGCCAUACUAAGCUGAUAAGUGUUAAUAACUUCUACAACAUAUACAACACUUAAGACAAGUAAAAGCAAUUUGAUGAGUCAUGGUCUAUCAAAGGCACAUUACUAGUCUAAUCCAUCUUAACAGGUCACACAUGAUUAAAACCUUGUUUGUGUGCAAGUCAAGCUUAUCUAGUUUACAUGUAACAACUUGUAGAACAUUACAAAAUUUAUGUUUGCUAAUAACCUCUAGAACACUACAACACUUGACAUGUAAAAGGAAUUUGAUGAGUCAUGGCCUACUAAAGCAAGUUAUAUUACUAGUCUUAUCUACCUUAACAGGCCACACAAGAUUACAAACUAAGUUCUGUGCUAGCCAUGCUUAUCUAGUUUAUGCGUAACAAUUUGCAGAAAAUUACAAACUUAGUUUCAGAAAAAUAGGCAAUCUAGAUUAGUGUUUGAGCUGUAAAGUGAAUAAGAUGAGUCAUGUGUGUUAUCACACCUUUUUGGUUGUGGAAUAAUAGUGCAACAACAAGGAACUUUAAUGACCAGUCCAAGAAUACACUUGUAAGUAGUGCCACCGAACACAACAUGCCAAAUUUUGAUUUUGAGAAGCAUCCAAACACUUCCACACAAGCAAAUGCCAAUUGUGAAAGAGAUCAUGCCAUGGCAGCUAUAAAUAGGCCCGUAGCAUGACGAUCAUCCUUCCUCAUCCAUCAUUCUCAUAAGUAGAGCGCAUCAUUUAAGCCAAGCAAGCAGUGCUCAAUACAAAUCCACCAUGAAGACCUUUCUCAUCCUUGCCCUCCUUGCUAUUGUGGCGACCACCGCCACAACUGCAGUUAGAGUUCCAGUGCCACAAUUGCAGCUACAAAAUCCAUCUCAGCAACAGCCACAAGAGCAAGUUCCAUUGGUACAAGAACAACAAUUUCCAGGGCAGCAACAACCAUUUCCACCACAACAGCCAUAUCCGCAGCCGCAACCAUUUCCAUCACAACAACCAUAUCUGCAGCUGCAACCAUUUCCACAGCCGCAACUACCAUAUCCGCAGCCGCAACCAUUUCGACCACAACAACCAUAUCCACAGCCGCAACCACAGUAUUCGCAACCACAACAACCAAUUUCGCAGCAGCAGCAGCAGCAGCAGCAACAACAACAACAACAACAACAAAUCCUACAACAAAUUUUGCAACAACAACUGAUUCCAUGCAGGGAUGUUGUAUUGCAACAACACAACAUAGCGCAUGGAAGCUCACAAGUUUUGCAAGAAAGUACUUACCAGCUGGUGCAACAAUUGUGUUGUCAGCAGCUGUGGCAGAUCCCCGAGCAGUCGCGGUGCCAAGCCAUCCACAAUGUUGUUCAUGCUAUUAUUCUGCAUCAACAACACCACCACCACCAACAACAACAACAACAACAACAACAACAACCGUUGAGCCAAGUCUCCUUCCAACAGCCUCAGCAACAAUAUCCAUCAGGCCAGGGCUUCUUCCAACCAUCUCAGCAAAACCCACAGGCCCAGGGCUCUUUCCAGCCUCAACAACUGCCCCAGUUUGAGGCAAUAAGGAACCUAGCGCUACAGACGCUACCUGCAAUGUGCAAUGUGUAUAUCCCUCCAUAUUGCACCAUUGCUCCAUUUGGCAUCUUCGGUACUAACUGAGAAGAGAAGAACUCUAGUAGUAGAUAUAUGAUACACCGUUUUCUUAGUCCAUGGUUUGGUCGUUGUAGCGGUGAAAAAAUAAAGUGACAUGCACUAUCAUGUAAGAACCUGAACUAUACUAGUUCAAACUUGGGAAUAAAAGACAAACACAGGUCUUGUCUACAUAUGAUUGUUUGUUUGAGUUCCACUCAUGUGCCCAUUCACAAGUUCACCCCUAAUUAUAUAUAUUAUGCAUUAAGUAGAUAUUUAUGUUGCAUUAAUCUAAAGAUAACAAAAUGAGUCUGAAAUUUGAAUUAAAUUGAAGUAUUUCCUUGGACUUUCAAAUGGAGUAUUAUUAAAGUAGUAAGGACUAUCCACAUCCUUGGCUUGCCCUUGAUCAAUUAUUUGCUGAGAAGCAUUCAAUUCGUCAAUCAAUUACAUUGAUUUUUGUGGCUGGUACUUCUCCUCAACAUGAGUAUAUUCAUCGUGGCUACUCCAAAUCGGCAUGAAUGAGGUACCGGUGCUCUGGAGCACUAGUACCUAACAGCUUCUCAUGUGAAGGGGUGCGGGCACGGGAGAGGUGUUUUUGGUGGGUCAAGGGAGUAAGAAGCGGCCGUGGCAGCGGUCCAGACGCCCACAAAGCCUCGUAGUUUGUUUUUGGUUUACAGGAAAAUGCACAUCCAGACUGGCCUGCGGGCCGAUAUAGGACCGUAUUGGAUGGCAAAACAUGUCCAGAUGGUUGUGAGCGGUUUGAGGGUUAGCUUUUGUAACGCCCGGUUAGUUAUGCUAUGGUAGUUCCCUGCUAAUGAUGUCACGUCACCACGAUUACUGUUGUUAACCUCACAAUGAUUCAAUCCCAUUCAAAUCCAAAUUUAAAAUAAAGGCAAACAUCAAAAGUUUCAAACAUUAAAACUAAAAUCUUCGAGAGGUGAAAAAUAAUGCAUAAGUAAUUAUGGUGGAGAAACCACACUUUUAUAAAAUGUUUAAAUACUCUAAAAGGAAUAAAACAGUGGCUUAAACUAUUAUUUAAAUGCUUUUAAAAUAGUAAAAAUGUUCUAACUAAAUUAAUUGGGUACCAAACUUUUGGUGGCAGUGGUAUAUUUAGUAGAAAAAAUUUAGAUGCUAAUUAUAUAAUUUACAAAAUUAAAGUAAAUUAAAAAAUAGGAUAAAACAUAAAAGGAAAGACAAAACAAAUAAAAGCAAAAGGGGGCAACCCCUCACUGAGCCUCGGCCUAGCUGGCCACUAGGCUAGCUAGGCCGGCCCAGCCGCCUCCCUUAACCCCCCACUCCCCAUCGAACAAUAGCCCGAUCGCCCCACUUCCCCCACACCCCCUCGUCAGCCUCCCCACCUCUCGAUCCCAUCUGGAUCGGGGAGGGGAUCGCCCCCAUCGACCCCGUCGCCAUCGCCGGAUCACCCGCUCGCCCAUCGCCCGCCGGCGUCGCCGGGCCUCCUCCCCGCCGCCCGUCUCCGGCUCUCCUCCCCUCUCGCUCCUCUUCCCCGACCCGAUAUGGAUCGAGAAGGGGCAAUGAGCCCGACGCCCCCCUCCACCGACGUUGUGCGCCAGCACCGCCACCCGAAGACCUCGUCGUCGCCGGACCUCGCGUCGCCUCCUCGUAUCUCUCCCCGACUCGCCUCCUCAAGCCACGCCGACCCCCUUCUCGGCAACGCUGUGAGCCGCCCCCGUUUCCCUCCUUCUCUUUCCACCGUGUUUGAUAAGUCUCCAACGUAUCUAUAAUUUUUGAUUGUUCCAUGCUAUAUUAUAUUCUGUUUUGGAUGAUUAAUGGGAUUUAUUAUACACUUUUAUAUUAUUUUUGGGACUAACCUAUUAACCGGAGGCCCAGCCCAAAUUGCUGUUUUUUUGCCUAUUUCAGUGUUUCGCAGAAAAAGAAUAUCAAACGGAGUCCAAACGGAAUGAAACCUUCGGGAAUGUGAUUUUCGGAACAAACGUGAUCCAGAGGACUUGGAGUGGACGUCAAGCAACAGACGAGGAAGCCACGAGGUAGGGGCGCGCCUACCCUCCUGGGCGCGCCCUCCACCCUCAUGGGCCCCUCGUGGCUCCACUGACCUACUUCUUCCUCCUAUAUAUACCUACGUACCCCCAAACCAUCAGAAGCGACCACAAAAACCUAAUUCCACCGCCGCAACCUUCUGUACCCGUGAGAUCCCAUCUUAGGGCCUUUUCCGGCGUCCUGCCGGAGGGGGCAUUGAUCACGGAGGGCUUCUACAUCAACACCAUAGCCUCUCCGAUGAUGUGUGAGUAGUUUACCUCAGACCUUCGGGUCCAUAGUUAUUAGCUAGAUGGCUUCUUCUCUCUCUUUGGAUCUCAAUACAAAGUUCUCCUCGUUUCUCUUGGAGAUCUAUUUGAUGUAACUCUUCUUUUUGCGGUGUGUUUGUCGAGAUCCGAUGAAUUGUGGGUUUAUGAUCAAGAUUAUCUAUGAACAAUAUUUGAAUCUCCUCUGAAUUCUUUUAUGUAUGAUUGGUUAUCUUUGCAAGUCUCUUCGAAUUAUCAGUUUGGUUUGGCCUACUAGAUUGAUCUUUCUUGCAAUGGGAGAAGUGCUUAGCUUUGGGUUCAAUCCUGCGGUGUCCUUUCCCAGUGACAGCAGGGGCAGCAAGGCACGUAUUGUAUUGUUGCCAUCGAGGAUAAAAAGAUGGGGUUUAUAUCAUGUUGCAUGAGUUUAUCCCUCUACAUCAUGUCAUCUUGCUUAAAGCGUUACUCUGUUUUUAUGAACUUAAUACUCUAGAUGCAUGCUGGAUAGCGGUCGAUGUGUGGAGUAAUAGUAGUAGAUGCAGAAUCGUUUUGGUCUACUUGUCACGGACGUGAUGCCUAUAUACAUGAUCAUACCUAGAUAUUCUCAUAACUAUGCUCAAUUCUAUCAAUUGCUCGACAGUAAUUCGUUUACCCACCAUAAUACUUAUGCUCUUGAGAGAAGCCACUAGUGAAACCUAUGGCCCCCGGGUCUAUUUUCCAUCAUAUUAAUCUUCCGUCAACAAGCUAUUUCUAUCUUUAUUUACCUUGUAAUCUUUACUUUUACUCUUUAUCAUAAAAAUACCAAAAAUAUUAUCUUAUCAUCUCUAUCAGAUCUCACUCUCGUAAGUGACCGUGAAGGGAUUGACAACCCCUUUAUCGCGUUGGUUGCGAGGUUCUUAUUUGUUUGUGUAGGUGCGUGGGACUUGAGUGUGGCCUCCUACUGGAUUGAUACCUUGGUUCUCAAAAACUGAGGAAAAUACUUACGCUACUUUACUGCAUCACCCUUUCCUCUUCAAGGGAAAACCAACGCAGUGCUCAAGAGGUAGCAAGAAGGAUUUCUAGCACCGUUGCCGGGGAGUCUACGCACAAGUCAAGACAUACCAAGUACCCGUCACAAACUCUUAUCCCUCGCAUUACAUUAUUUGCCAUUUGCCUCUCGUUUUCCUCUCCCCCACUUCACCCUUGCCGUUUUAUUCGCCUCCUUUUCGUUUGCUUCUUGUUUGCUCGUGUGUUGGAUUGCUUGUUUGUCGCGAUGGCUCUACCUAGAUUUGGUGAUCUUCCAUUAAAAGGUUAGAAGAGAUUGAAAGCAACGUCAGAAGUUUCAUGACUUUACAAUUUGAGCAUAACAAUUUCUUUAGAAACGAGCUUAAGGAACAAAAAAGCUUUAUGGGUUACAUGAAUAAAGAGCUCGACGAUAUGUCUAAGGAAUUUUAUGGUCUAAAAUCUUAGAUUUCUCAUCUCGAAAAAUUAAUUGCUGAAAUUUCGGAUAAGCAGGCCACCUUAGUUAAUAAGAUGGCCGCUAAACCGGUAAUUUUUUAUGAGAAUAAAGAUGAAGAUCUAAAAGUUAUUGAUGUGUCCCCUAUUAAAUCUUAGUUUUGCAAUAUGAAUCUUGAUAAUGAUGGGACUGGAGAUGAGUCAACUUUAGUUAAAAGGCGUCCCAAAAAUUCGGAGUUUUUAGAUCUUGAUGCAAAAUUUGGUAAAAGUGGGAUUGAAGAGGUCAAAACUUUAGAUAUCAAUGAACCCACUAUCUUGGAUUUCAAGGAAUUUAAUUAUGAUAAUUGCUCUUUGAUAUAUUUUAUUUCCUUGUUGCAAUCCGUGUUAAAUUCUCCUCAUGCUUAUAGUCAAAAUAAAGCUUUUACUAAACAUAUCGUUGUUGCUUUGAUGCAAUCUUAUGAAGAAAAACUUGAGUUGGAAGUUUCUAUCCCUAGAAAACUUUAUGAUGAAUGGGAACCUACAAUUAAAAUUAAAAUUAAAGAUCAUGAAUGCUAUGCUUUGUGUGAUUUGGGUGCUAGUGUUUCCACGAUCCCAAAAACUUUGUGUGAUUUGCUAGGUUUCCGUGAAUUUGAUGAUUGUUCUCUAAAUUUGCAUCUUGCGGAUUCCACCAUCAAGAAACCUAUGGGAAGAAUUAAUGAUGUUAUUAUUGUUUCAAAUAGGAACUAUGUGCCCGUAGAUUUUAUUGUUCUUGAUAUAGAUUACAAUCCUUCAUGUCCUAUUAUUUUUGGUAGACCUUUCCUUAGAACGAUUGGUGCAAUUAUUGAUAUGAAAGAAGGAAAUAUUAGAUUCCAAUUUCCGUUAAGGAAAGGUAUGGAACACUUUCCUAGAAAGAAAAUAAAAUUACCUUAUGAAUCUAUUAUGAGAGCUACUUAUGGAUUGCCUACCAAAGAUGGCAAUACCUAGAUCUAUCCUCGCUUUUAUGCCUAGCUAGGGGCGUUAAAUGGUAGCGCUUGUUGGGAGGCAACCCAAAUUUUAUUUUAGUUUUUUUGCUUUUUUGCUUCUGUUUAGGAAUAAAUCUUUGAUCUAGACUCUGGUUAGACUUGUUUUUAUGUUUUAAUUAGUGUUUGUGCCAAGUUAAACCUAUAGGAUCUUCUUGGAUGAUAGUUAUUUGAUCUUGCUGAAAAUUCCAGAAACUUUCUGUUCACGAAAACAAUUGUUAAAAAUCACCAGAACGUGAUAAAAUACUGAUUCUAAUUGCAGUAGAUCAAUAAACAAAUUAUCUAGGUCUUCCUAUUUUGGUAGAUUUUUCUGAGUUACAUAAGUUUGUGUUAGUUACAGAUUACUACAGACUGUUCUGUUUUUGACAGAUUCUGUUCUUCGUGUGUUGUUUGCUUAUUUUGAUGAAUCUAUGGCUAGUAAAAUAGUUUAUAAACCAUAGAUAAGUUGGAAUACAUUAGGUUUAACACCAAUAUAAAUAAAGAAUGAGUUCAAUACAGUACCUUGAAGUGGUGUUUUGUUUUCUUUCGCUAACGGAGCUCACGAGAUUUUCUGUUAAGUUUUGUGUUGUGAAGUUUUCAAGUUUUGGGUAAAGAUUUGAUGGAUUAUGGAACAAGGAGUGGCAAGAGCCUAAGCUUGGGGACGCCCAAGGCACCCCAAGGUAAAUCUAAGGACACCAAAAAUCCAAAGCUUGGGGAUGCCCCGGAAGGUAUCCACUCUUUCGUCUUCGUCCAUCGGUAACUUUACUUGGAGCUAUAUUUUUAUUCACCACAUGAUAAGUGUUUUGCUUGGAGCGUCUUGUAUGAUUUGAGUAUUUGCUUUUUAGUUUACCACAUUCAUACUUGCUGUACACACCUUUUGAGAGAGACACACAUGAUUCAGAAUUUAUUAGAAUACUCUAUGUGCUUCACUUAUAUCUUUUGAGCUAUAUAGUUUUUGCUCUAGUGCUUCACUUAUAUCUUUUAGAGCACGGUGGUGGUUUUGUUUUAUAGAAACUAUUUUUCUCUCAUGCUUCACUUAUAUCAUUUUGAGAGUCCUACAUAACAGCAUGGUAAUUUGCUUAAAUUGAGAAAUUAGUCCUAAUAUGAUAGGCAUCCAAGAUUAGUAAAAACUUUCUUAUAAGUGCGUUGAAUACUAAGAAAAGUUUGAUGCUUGAUGAUUGUUUUGAGAUAUGGAGGUAGUGAUAUUAAAGUUGUGCUAGUUGAGUAGUUUUGAAUUUGAGAAAUACUUGCGUUGAAGUUUGCAAGUCCCGUAGCAUGCACGUAUGGUAAACGUUGUGUAACAAAUUUGAAACAUGAGGUGUUCUUUGAUUGUCCUCCUUAUGAGUGGCGGUCGGGGACGAGUGAUGGUCUUUUCCUACCAAUCUAUCCCCCUAGGAGCAUGCGCGUAGUGCUUGGUUUUUGAUGACUUGUAGAUUUUUGCAAUAAGUAUGUGAGUUCUUUAUGACUAAUGUUGAGUCCAUGGAUUAUACGCACUCUCACCCUUCCAUCAUUGCUAGCAUCUUCGGUACCGUGCAUUGCCCUUUCUCACCUUGAGAGUUGGUGCAAAUUUCGCCGGUGCAUCCAGACCCCGUGAUACGAUACGCUCUGUCACACAUAAACCUCCUUAUAUCUUCCUCAAAACAGCCACCAUACCUACCUGUUAUGGCAUUUCCAUAGCCAUUCCGAGAUAUAUUGUCAUGCAACUUUCCACCGUUCCGUUUAUCAUGACACGUUUCAACAUUGUCAUAUUGCCUUGCAUGAUCAUGUAGUUGACAUCGUAUUUGUGGCAAAGCCACCGUUCAUAAUUUUUCAUACAUGUCACUCUUGAUUCAUUGCCCAUCCCGGUACACCGCCGGAGGCAUUCAUAUAGAGUCAUACUUUGUUCUAGUAUCGAGUUGUAAUCAUUGAGUUAUAAAUAAAUAGAAGUGUGAUGAUCAUCAUUCAUAGAGCAUUGUCCCAAAAAAAGGAGAAAGGCCAAAUGAAAAAAAGGCCCAAAAAAAGGGGCAAUGUUACUAUCCUUUUUCCAUACUUGUGCUUCAAAGUAGCACCAUGGUCUUUAUGAUAGAGAGUCUCUUGUUUUGUCACUUUCAUAUACUAGUGGGAAUUUUUCAUUAUAGAACUUGGCUUGUAUAUUCCCACAAUGGGCUUCCUCAAAUGCCCUAGGUCUUCGUGAGCAAGCAAGUUGGAUGCACACCCACUUAGUUUCUUUUGUUGAGCUUUCAUGCAUUUAUAGCUCUAGUGCAUCCGUUGCAUGGCAAUCCCUACUCCUUGCAUUGACAUCAAUCGAUGGGCAUCUCCCUAGCUCGUUGAUUAGCCGCGUCAAUGUGAGACUUUCUUUUCUUUUUUUCUUCUCCACAUAACCCCCAUCAUCAUAUUAUAUUCCACCCAUAGUGUUAUAUCCAUGGCUCACGCUCAUAUAUUGCGUGAAAGUUGAAUUUUUUUUGAGAUUACUAAAGUAUGAAACAAUUGCUUGGCUUGUAAUCGGGGUUGUGCAUGAUGAGAGCAUUCUUGUGUGACGAAAAUGGGGCAUGACCAAACUAUAUGAUUUUGUAGGGAUGAACUUUCUUUGGCCAUGUUAUUUUGAGAAGACAUAAUUGCUUAGUUAGUAUGCUUGAAGUAUUAUUACUUUUAUGUCAAUAUUAAACUUUUAUCUUGAAUCUUUCGGAUCUGAAUAUUCAUACCACAAAUAAGAGAAUUACAUUGAAAAUUAUGCUAAGUAGCAUUCCACAUCAAAAAUUCUGUUUUUAUCAUUUACCUACUCGAGGACGAGCAGGAAUUAAGCUUGGGGAUGCUUGAUACGUCUCCAACGUAUCUAUAAUUUUUGAUUGUUCCAUGCUAUAUUAUAUUCUGUUUUGGAUGAUUAAUGGGCUUUAUUAUACACUUUUAUUAUUUUUGGGACUAACCUAUUAACCGGAGGCCCAGCCCAAAUUGUUGUAUUUUUUGCCUAUUUUAGUGUUUCGCAGAAAAAGAAAAUCAAACGGAGUCCAAACGGAAUGAAACCUUCGGGAACGUGAUUUUCGGAACAAAUGUGAUCCAGAGGACUUGGAGUGGACGUCAAGGAACAGACGAGGAAGCCAUGAGGUAGGGGGGCGCGCCUACCCCCUGGGCGCGCCCUCCACCCUCGUGGCUCCACCGACCUACUUCUUCCUCCUAUAUAUACCUACGUACCCCCAAACCAUCAGAAGCGACCAUGAAAACCUAAUUCCACCACCGCAACCUUCUAUACCCCUGAGAUCCCAUCUUGGGGCCUUUUCCGGCGUCCUGCCGGAGGGGGCAUUGAUCACGGAGGGCUUCUACAUCAACACCAUAGCCUCUCCGAUGAUGUGUGAGUAGUUUACCUCAGACCUUCGGGUCCAUAGUUAUUAGCUAGAUGGCUUCUUCUCUCUCUUUGGGUCUCAAUACAAAGUUCUCCUCGUUUCUCUUGGAGAUCUAUUUGAUGUAACUCUUCUUUUUGCGGUGUGUUUGUCGAGAUCCGAUGAAUUGUGGGUUUAUGAUCAAGAUUAUCUAUGAACAAUAUGUGAAUCUCCUAUGAAUUCUUUUAUGUAUGAUUGGUUAUCUUUGCAAGUCUCUUCGAAUUAUCAGUUUGGUUUGGCCUACUAGAUUGAUAUUUCUUGCAAUGGGAAAAGUGCUUAGCUUUGGGUUCAAUCUUGCGGUGUCCUUUCCCAGUGACAGCAGGGGCAGCACGGCACAUAUUGUAUUGUUGCCAUCGAGGGUAAAAAGAUGGGGUUUAUAUCAUAUUGCAUUAGUUUAUCCCUCUACAUCAUGUCAUCUUGCUUAAAGCGUUACUCUGUUCUUACGAACUUAAUGCUCUAGAUGCAUGCUGGAUAGCGGUCGAUGUGUGGAGUAAUAGUAGUAGAUGCAGAAUCGUUUCGGUCUACUUGUCACGGACGUGAUGCCUAUAUACAUGAUCAUACCUAGAUAUUCUCAUAACUAUACUCAAUUCUAUCAAUUGCUCGACAGUAAUUCGUUUACCCACCGUAAUACUUAUGCUCUUGAGAGAAGCCACUAUUGAAACCUAUGGCCCCCGGGUCUAUUUUCCAUCAUAUUAAUCUUCCGUCAACAAGCUAUUUCUAUCUUUAUUUACCUUGCAAUCUUUACUUUUACUCUUUAUCAUAAAAAUACCAAAAAAAAUUAUCUUAUCAUCUCUAUCAGAUCUCACUCUCGUAAGUGACCGUGAAGGGAUUGACAACCCCUUUAUCGCGUUGGUUGCGAGGUUCUUAUAUAUUUGUGUAGGUGCGUGGGACUUGAGUGUGGCCUCCUACUGGAUUGAUACCUUGGUUCUCAAAAACUGAGGGAAAUAAUUACACUACUUUACUGCAUCACCCUUUCCUCUUUAAGGGAAAACCAACGCAGUGCUCAAGAGGUAGCAGUGUUCACCGCGCCGCCCGCCGUGCCCCUCGCCGCGCGCACGCCCACCACCGCGCCAGCCCCCGCUCAGCGCCCUCUCCUGCACGCUUGUGCGCGCAUGACCCUAGCCACGCCCGCGCCGUGAUCCCCUUGUUCGGCCCGCCUUCGUCCCGCGCUCGCCGCGGCCCCCAUGCUCCCCCGUGCCAUCUUCUAGGGGCGUCGGCUGCCCCUGUCCCGCUGCUCGCUGCCACGCCUCGCCCGCCCGCGCCUCGCCACCGCUCUACUGCUACGCUAAUAUUGCGCUGUGGCCGCCGCCGCUUCCCGCUGCUCUGCCAGCGCCGAAGCUCCCGGUUGGCUCCGCCGCUGCUCACGUUUUACCGCCCCUAAACGGCCUACCCCCCCCCUCGCUAAUGAACCCCCACUGACCCGCUGACACCGGGACCCACAUCCCCUAAUUAACCAUUUAAUAAAUUAAAAAUCUUAAAUUAACAUUAGUGUAUGACAUGUGGGUCCCCUAUUAAUUAAACUGAUUUAAUUAAAAUCUAUUAACAUUGAGUCUGUGACAUAUGGGCCCCACUAAACAUUUGACCAGUCAACGGUCUAGUCAAAUGCUGACCGGACAGUUGACCAGAGGGCCCCACCAGUCAGCCUCUGUGCUGUUCUGCUGGGUACCUUUCUAAGUACACCUAGCAUUUUGCAUUUACAAUAUUUGUUUUAAAAUAAAUUAGAAUAAUUUCAAAAAAAGAUUAAAACUUUUAAAAUUAAAAUAAAAUAAUCCGUAACUCGGAUGAAAUUACUUUAUACAUGCAAGUUGCUCAAAAAACGAGACGAAUCCGAAUACACAGUCCGUUCGUCUGCCACACGUCCCUAGCAUAGCAAACAUGCAACCAUCCCCCUCCGGUUCGACUGUCCGAAAAUGUCAGACACGGGAAAUACUUUUCCGGAUUUUCCCCUUCACCAUUAGCACCUAGUACCGCGUGAGGGCAUACCUAGCACCACUUAUUGUAAUGUCAUGCAUCGUCAUGCAUCUGUUUGCAUUGUAUUCAUUGUUUCUUCCUCCUCUUCUCUCCGGUAGACUACGAGACCGACGUCGGUGCUGCCCCGGUCGACUACGGUGUCCAUGACCCCUCCUUGUAAGCAGAGCUUCCAGGCAAGCAAACCCCCUUGAUCAUCCCGAUAUCGCCUACUCUUUCCCUCUACUGCUUGCAUUAGAGUAUUGUUACUGUUUGUCGGUUUGAUCCUAUACUGCUGCAUGGCUUGUCUUUGAUACUACUUAUGUGUUAUUUGUGUAGAUUUGUCAAGGAAAAAUGAGUCUAUAGCCUAAUAAAUGAAGUGUUGCAUGUUACCACACAUAUGUUAAUCCCCACUAUAGAGUUAGUAACAUAGACUAGUAACAUGUGCAUGUUACUACCCAUUGUGGCCAGUCUAUGUUACCACUUUCCUCUCUUUCUUCAUUUAUUGCUUGCCACAUCAUCUAUUUUAUCUAGGUAUGUGUGAUAUUACUACCUAUGUUACUCCCACUGUGGGUAGUCUAAGCAGGCUAUAAGGAAUAGAAUAAUAUAUAUGUGCUUAUUAGUUGGAGGAAAGAGAAGAGAAGCGGGCUCUUGGUUAGUAGAGCCAGCUACAACAUGAGACCCAAGCACUUUGUGAGGAUGUAAGGUGGCCAACUAUUGAUAAACUAGUACGUAUAUAAAAAUUAUUAUUGCACAUGGCCGCUAAGAGGUUGGCUGUAUAUGACAUGACAACUUCUUAUAGCCGACCCUUGGCUGUAUUAUUAACCAUGCUCUUAGUGAGGUAGCUAGUAUAUCAUAGACGACUAGCUAGUAUCAGACUAGCCAAAGUGGGAGUAACUUCAGCAGUAACAUCGACUCCAACUCAGAAAACUUGCUUAUGUGGGAGUAAACCGUGCCCAAUGCAAAAUACAAUCCCAGUCAUAAUUUUUUCAGGAAACGUGUGGUAUCCCAAACGAAAAGUACAUGUCACUCUUGCGGCAACGAUACCCAAUAAAUCACAAACGGUCUGCAGCACUUGUAUGUGUGCGAAGAGGCUCCUGAACCGUUUGUGAUAGAACAUUAUCGUAGACGAUAAUUGUUGGCAAACGUGUGCGAUGGAGUCUAGCAUGGCAGACAGGUUACGCAGAAAACUCGUGUGCGAUGGGGCACAAAUCGCACACAGUUCAUAUGUUGGCCCGUGUGCCUUACAUACUAUUUCCCAAACGGUUUGUUACGACAGACCGUAUGGUUUCAGUGCGUCAUUAGAAACGCUUAAUCACCGAUACCACACGUGCGAAAGAAUUUAGUGUGUGCUUCAUCGCACACGAUUACAUUUUGGAAGGCCUCUGGAUCACUGCUCCAUAUCCCCGACGGUUUCUGGGUCGUGUGGGAAGUACACCCUAUCGCACACACUCACUUGGCGACGGUUCCAAAUGCCAUCGCGGAAAGGGGUUGAAAACAGUUUGUUUAGAACCGACGCGUACCAUUGUCUAUCUAUCUAUCUACCUAUCUAUCUAUCUAUCUAUCCAUCCAUCUAUCUAUCUAUCCAUCUAUCUAUCCACCUAUCCAUCUAUCCAUCUAUCUAUCUCUAUCCAUCUAUCUAUCUAUCCAUCUAUCCAUCUAUCUAUCCAUCUAUUUAUCUAUCUAUCUAUCUAUCUAUCUAUCUAUGUAUCCAUCGAUCCAUCUAUCCAUCCAUCGAUCCAUCUAUCCAUCCAUCUAUCUAUCCAUGCAUCCAUGUAUCCAUCUAUCGAUCUAUCCAUCUAUCCAUAUAUCGAUCUAUCCAUCUAUCUAUCCAUCUAUCCAUCUAUCCAUCUAUCGAUCUUUCCAUCUAUCGAUCUAUCCAUCUCUUCAUCUACCCAUCUAUCCAUCUAUCCAUCUACCGAUCUAUCUAUCCAUCUAUCUACCUACCUAUCUAUCUAGCUAUCUAGCUAUCUAUCUAUCUAUCCAUCCAUCUGUCCAUCCAUCCAUCUAUCUACCUACCUACCUACCUACCUACCUACCUAUCUAUCUAUAUAUCUAUCUAUCUAUCUAUCUAUCUAUCUAUCUAAAGGAAAUAUGCCCUAGAUGCAAUAAUAAAGUUGUUAUUUAUAUUACUUAAACUAGCAGAGUCACCCGCGCAUUUGCGCGGCUAGAUUGACUACAUAUAUUGUUAUAUUUGGGAUUAUUUUUCUAUGCCAACUUUAUGGCCUCUUACUCAGAUAUUAUCUAAUUUAAUUUACCACCACCAUAUGUUAUAUCCAUAGAUUAUAAUUAAAAGGCAACUUGCGACGAAACAUGGUCAGAUUAUUGAGUGCUCAGAAGACGGGCGCAAUAUCAUAUAUAGACUUCUAUACCAAUCUUCAUGGUUCCCAUCUUUGAUCCUCUCCUCGUCCCUUGGUAUCUAUCUUUGCACCCAAUAUGUCUUUGGAGUUCCAAGAAUUGGAUCUUAGCAUGAAUGGCUUCAAAGUGUACCAAAUGUUCUCUUGUUCCUCCCAAAUUAAUUACUGGUUGCAUUCUUAGUUGCUUUGACAUUCUUGGUUAAUGCAAUGUCUUGCCUACCAAUAUAUGCAUCCACACACGAUCAUAUUUAUAUGACCACUUACCUCUGUAUUCUGGUAUUUGUGCUUCAGAAUUUUUCUCUCAUUCAGUUUAUUCAUAGAUUAGAAACGUCGAUCGUUUCUUUAUUGGUUUGCAUUAUCUUGUUUGCCGAAUGUAAGCAUCCACACAUGCUCGUCAUGAUAUGAUUGGUCAUCAUUGUAUAUUUGUAUUUGUGUGUUGAUAGCUUAAGGAUUUUCUCGGAUUCACUUCAUAGUUUAAGGAUUUUCUCGCGUUCAAUUUAUUCUACCUUAUUCAUUUUCAUGUUUCUUUAUUGUAUUCAUAUCCAUUCUUACAAUAUAUUUUCCAAGAUAUGAACUCAACUACUAAUUACGUAGUUUUCAAUGAAAUUUUACAUGUAAAAGUGGUACAAAUGCAUAAACCCAAUUUUUUUUUAAACACGUUGACUUACAAAAAGGACAAUUCAAGCUGCAUGUACGUCCGACUCAUGUUUACCUGACAAUGUCGAUGUUGAUUUCAGCAGUAAAUGAGCUGUGUGUGACCUUUGCGCUUUCCGGUAUUCUUCUAACCUGUGUGCUUUAUGAUCAGUUUGUUGUGCUUAGUACUGGACACUGGAGUAUACUAUCAUAUUUGAUACAAACAAAUCCGAACUGCUAUAGUUAUGAUCCACUGUAUAGUUAAUGGUGGUGGUAAUUAAUAUAUGUGGUUAAAUACUUGCGCUCCUUAGGUGGGGAGUUGGAUUUGUAUUUGUCUAAAAUGAAUUUCAGAUUUCGUAUCAGUGGUGAAGCCAGCCGGAAGAACCUCUGCGUCAUUAUUAAUUUUGGUGAUAUUUUUCAUCAUAGUGUAGAAUAAUUUUAGUGCUUAUUCCGCAAAAAAAUGGCCUCAACUGACCCCAUAGCUUGUAUGUUGCGCCACCACUGUUUCGUAUAUCUUAUUACAUCCGUUGUUUUUAGAUCUUGAUGCAUAACUUUGACAAUUUUUAAUAGAUAUGUGUCUGUAUAAAAAAAUUAUAAAUGCUAUGAUAAUUUGAUUAAUUAUGAUGAAUAAAAUGGUAUUGCUUUGACUUGAUCCCUCUAACAAUUUAUAGGAAUGCUCUUAAAUAUUUCUGCUUCAUUUGAUCUCAUUAUAGCCUGCCUAAAUUACAUGGCUUAAUCGCCUUUUUUCUUUUAUCUUAGUUCAUUUCCGUAAAUUCAUUUGUACUAUAUAUGCUCCCGUAAAUUCAUUUUUUUAAUUGCUCACAUUUUUUUGAGGCAUUUUGAGUUUCUCACGUACGCUCAAACGCCCAAGAAAACACAUAUAGUGUUCGCUACGCCCAAGAAAACACAUUGAGGCAGUAAUUUCUUCAGGCAAGAUCGAUCGGCAGCUAAUUAAGUAGGCUGGAUGGCAUUGAGAAAUCCAAAAACGAUUUACAUACACAUGGUAGAUCGUCUCUCUCUCUCCUUCCACCCCUUCCUUUCAUGGCCAUCGUAGACUGCACCAUGUGGCAUUCAAACUUUUAUCAAGGGGAGAGUUUCCUCACACACACACACACACAUGCACAUACGCAAGCACACGCACACACGUGUAGUACAAACUUAGAAUUUUUGGAAAUAAUGGGAGGCCGAGCAACGGCCAUGUGAAAAUAUGAGGUAUAUAGCUUGUGGAUUUCCUUUCAGUGUACAAGGCCUGCAUGAGGAAUGGAUAAAAAAUUAUAUCUUUGAUUCCCUUAGUUAAAUCUUAUCCUUCAUCGUCAAUUAUGACUAAGCAUACAUAGUAACCGCUAGUUUCUCUUAUAUGCUUCCGAGAAGAUAAGACUGGAUAUUUUAGUUGCUAUUAAUUGUUUCCCUUCUUUCGCUAAAUAGUAGUCAAACAUGUUAUUAAUGUAUUUUGUAAGGAUAAGGUCGAGCAUCAUGGCCACUAUGUUCUAUAUAUACUGAAUUUGGUGUUCAGUAUGACAUAACAAACACAUAUUGUGAGAAGGAGUAGUGUACAUUGUUCUCUAGUGCACUUUGUUCAGCAAGUUGGGUGAAAAUGUUGAAUAGAACCAUCAAGUUUUCAUACUUUUUUUCAUGGCACAGGUUUGCCUUCUCAUGAUGAUGGCCGCACCGUUUGCACAAGCUGCUGGGAGGCCUGUGGCCUCCUUACCAUGGGUAGCGGGGUGUUGCCCGAGGAACUAUUUGUGUUGUGGUGUUGGUGCCGUUGCCCCGACAUCCCAUGCAUCACAGGCCACCUCUGUACCUUGAGUUAUGGUUUCGCCUGAUCUCCUCUCAUAACAUAGUUGAUAUAACAUAGUAGCAUCACAAAGGUUGCAUGGUUUCAUUGAUUCAUCUCUUUUCUACUCCUUGAAACUUGUGAUGCCACUUUUGAACAAUGUCAUUGCUAUGUCUUCUUAUAACUAAUAAAAUGGGAGGAUAUUUUCAUCUUAUUUGAAUUGUGUUGUAACAUUACCUACUAAUGUGGAUGAUCUGAGUGGGACUACAUAGAUCGGAUCUUCUAAAGAUGUAAUCUAGGACUUUGCGAGAUGAUGAAAUUGUCCUUUAUCUUGGUCGACACCUUUUCGUAGAAGUGUUGGUCGGCCGUCUGUGUCUUUUUGCGGUGCAUGCCGUAGAAUCCUCCAUGUUUUGUAGUUGUACAAUAACCUUUGAGGCAACCGGGGGUGGUACGUCUGAGGAAGUCGGUGGCCCAGGAAUAUUCAUAAUAAGAUCUUGACCAUGGAUGCCAAGUAAUUUGCCCCGUGCUGAUGUCGUCGGGCUGACCCGCUCACUUAUGUUUUGACUCAAGGAGUCGCUAUGUUCACCGAGUCGCGAGACAGCGGGAGGAAGGAGACGAAGGUCCCAAACGUCAGACCAAAAAGGUGGACUAGGGCUCGCCCUAGUUGUGCUCUCGGGUAUUUUCAGUUACUAGUAGGAGUAAGAAGCAUUGCAAAUUGCUCCCUCUGUUCAAUCCGUAUAUAUGUAGUCCAUAUUCAUAUAUUCAAAAUAUUUUAUAUUUGUGAACGAAGGAAGUAAUUAAUUGUAAUGCAACAAUUUCAGGGGAGGCCAGUCAACAGCUAACUAAAUGUGCUGGAUGAGACUGGAGAAAUGUAUAAACGAUUUACACAUGAUAGAACUACUCUUUUCUUGUUAAGAAAUGGAAGAAUGGAUGAUUUUAUCCGUUCGGAACAAAACCCAAUAUUCAUCCAGUUAGACGUUGUUCUGAAUUGUGACGCUUUUGAAAGUUUUCUCGCAGAAAUAUGUGUGUAUUCCAGUUGUAUCAUUAGCAAACCAAGGUUGUAUAUAUUAUAGCACAAAGAAUGUUUGGUUGAUUCGUUCAGGCGAAUCGGGUUUGUUGCUGACUGCCAAAGUCAGGCCAACUCCAGCGCACGACCCCAAACGGACAUCUGUUUUGCCUGGAUUCUGCCCGUUUGGAUAGGGCAAUGGGGUCGUGUCCGGGCCUGUCCUGUGAUGCGGUGGCCGUGCGCACAACGUGCGGACGCAUCCUUUGGCCUCAUCAUGUCCGCCACGGCCAAAAAUGCCCAUAUAUUCAUAUUUCAAUGUUCAAAACUAGUUUGCACGUUCAAAUAUUAAUUGUCUGAAAAUAAAAAUAGUUAUUACAACCCAAUCAAAAUUGUCUCUAAUAAAAUAGUUUUACAACCAAAUCGAAAUUGUCUUGAAUGAACAUAAUGAACCAAUACAUCUAUUGGUUGCCAAUGUGAUUCCACAUGUGCUCAACCAAGUCAUUUUGAAGAUCCAAAUGAGUGUGCCAAUCAUGCAUUUCACGAUGAAAUUGGGCAAACUUCUCAAACGUGGCCGGUUCUUGGUGCAGGGGCUGAACAUUUUCACCUUGAAAAUCAAAUCCUUGGUCGAAGAUGCUGUUAUCAUGCUCGUCCUCGAUGAUUAUGUUGUGCAUGAUCACACAAGCAGUCAUCACCUCCCGAAGCUUCCCUUCAUCCCAUGUCAAUGCAGGGUUUCAAACGAUACCCCAUCGGGAUUGAAGCAAACCAAAAGCACGUUCCACAUCCUUCCUAGCACUCUCUUGCAUUUGGGCAAAUCUCUUUCUCUUCUCACCUUGGGGGUUCGAGAUUGUCUUCACAAAAAGUUGACCACUGAGGAUAUAUACCAUCAGCUAGGUAGUAUCCCUUGUUAUACUGGUGGCCGUUGAUCUCAAAGUUGCCAGGUGGGGAGUGGCCUUCUGCAAGCCUUGCGAAGACUGGAGAACGCGGCAGCACGUUGAUAUCAUUGUGAGAACCUGCCAUGUCGAAGAAAGAAUGCCAUAUCCAAAGAUCUUGCGAAGCCACCGCUUCUAAUAUGAUAGUGCAAGCUUUAACAUGCCCCUUGUACUGGCCCUGCCAAGAAAAUGGACAGUUCUUCCACUCCCAGUGCAUACAAUCUAUGCUACCAAUCAUGCCUGGAAAGCCUCUAGCUGCGUUGGUCGCCAACAAGCUUUCUGUAUCAGUGGCAUUUGGCUGCUGAGGGAGUCCUGGAUUAAGGGGUCCUCGGGCGUCUGGGCUAUGUAACAUGGGCUGGACUAAUGGGCCGCGAAGAUACAAGAUGGAAGGCUUUCCCCCCAUGUCCGGAUGGGACUCUCCUUGGCGUGGAAGGCAAGCUUGGCAUGCGGAUAUUAAAGAUUCCCUUCCCUGUAAACCGAGUCUGUACAACCCUAGCCCCCUCCGAUGUCUAUAUAAACCGGAGGGUUUAGUCCGUAGAGGCAAGGAUAAUCAUACAGGCUAGAUAUCUAGGGUUUAGCCAUUACGAUCUCGAGGUAGAUCAACUCUUGUAAUCCCUAUACUCAUCAAAGUCAAUCAAGCAGGAAGUAGGGUAUUACCUCCAUUAAGAGGGCCCGAACCUGGGUAAACAUCGUGUCCCCUGCCUCCUGUUACCCUCUAUCCUUAGACGCACAGUUCGGGCCCCCCUAUCCGAGAUCCGCCGGUUUUGACACCGACAGCUGCCUCAAGUACUCAGGGCCAAACACUGCCACCACAGCCUUGUAGAAUUUGUAAAGUGACAACAGACAUGUCGACUCACUCAUGCGCACGUACUCAUCCACCAGAUCGCCUGGAAUUCCAUAUGCAAGCAUGCCGAUGGCCGCGGUGCACUUCUGGUAAGAGGAGAAUCCAAGCUUGCCAAGGGCAUCCGUCUUGCACUCGAAGUAUGGGUCAUGAGCAACCACUCCCUCUCGGAUACGAUUGAACAGAUGCCUUGCCAUACGAAAACGGCGACGGAAUUUAUUCGGCUUGAAGAGCGAGGUAUUCGCAAAGUAAUUGGCAUAGAGCAAGGCGUGGCCUCUCUCUCUAUUGCGUUUCAGGUUGGGAGCACGGCCAGGGACUGACCCCAUGUACCGAGGAAGCUGCCCAAUGUGAUCGUGAACGACCAGUGCAACCACCACCAGAUCUUCGUCAUCCGAGGACGAAUCAUCCGAUGAAUAAAUGAAGUGGUGGAAGAAAAAUUCAUCUCCACUGUCCAUACCUUUGUGGGCAAAGUGUCCAACACCUUGCGGUCGUGGUGGCAAAUAGGCCGCGAUGAUCAUCUCGAUGCAGCAGGGGUGGUUGGCGGCCGGCUACUGGCCGCUAUGGAGCACCUGGCGAAAGCUGCCGUGGUCCAUAUCCGUCGCCGGUGGUCGUAUCCCCUCUGGCACCGGCUACAACGACGACGGCCAAAUCUCCUCCAAGCGAUGGCCAGAACUCCUACGAAAGCGCGGGCUUGGUGGCGGCCGUGUCGAGACGUGGUUUGGUAUGGAUGGCCGGGGGGAAGCAGUGAGGAGGCGGUCGGAGAAUACUGGGGGCGCCGGUGGCGGGGUGGGGCGGAGGAGAGCGGGUGGAGGCGUUGGAGGCGAAUGGAGUGCUAGUGUCCCCAACAGGCGGGCCGCGGGGAGGACAAGGGCGUGUGUCCAGCCCGUCCGUGUGAUGUCCGUUUCAUCCCAAACUCGGCACAAGUUUGGGCCAGGAAUGGGUAAAAAACGGACGAAAUCCGGACAUUUGUCUAUUUGAGGCCGUGCCUUGGGUCGCGCUAUUCGUGUAUUCUACCCUAAACGGACGCACCAGAACGGAAUGGGGUCGCGUGCUGGAGUUGGCCUCACGACCGUUUCUGCCUUUGGCGCAGACAAGAGAUUCUACACUGUAAAGGAAAAAGCUGAAAGCUCGCUUGUCUCGUGUGUUUCUCUUCUCUUGCACCUUGUCGGAAAACAGCGUGCACCAGGGACGCUCGAUUCCAUGGCAGGCAUCAAUUCAAUCGAUCAUGCUACAGGGAACCGGCACUAUUUUCUUUUUCUUUUUCUUUUUCUUUUAGGUCGUGAACGCAAGUCAUUUGAGACAUUCACAUAGGACUUACAUAAUUGGUAGAUUUAUUAGCAUCAGUGUGGAGCUAAAGUGUUUGAUGUUUUGUAUGAAUGGUUUGGUCUUAACAAUCAAGCCGACCACUCAGGACCUACUUUUGGACUUUUUUUUUGUAUUAUUGUAUACUAGCAAAAGGGCCCGUGCGCGGAGAAAAAAAUUAUAAUCUUGAAUGACCAUGAUCACAUUUUUUUGCAUCACCGAGAUACACUAUCACUUUCAAUUUCGGGAAAUCAUGUACAUUUUUUAAACUUGUGAACAUUUUUCAAAUUCUUGAACACUUUUACAAAUCUGCAAACAUAUUCUAAAAUCAAGAACAUAUUUUGAAUUCAUGAACAUUUUAUAGUAUUUACAAACAUUUUUAGAAAUUACGAAUUCUUUUUAACAACUUUCUUGAAUAGGCAAACAAUUCUAAAAUGGACGAACAUUGUUUUAUAAAUCGGUGGAACAAUUUUUGAAAUUCACGAACAUUUUUUUGAUUUUACAAACAUUUUUUGAAAUGCAUGAUCAUUUUUGUAUAAACUAUUUUGUAUGUCACGAACAGAUUUUCAAAUAUUUGGUUAUUUCCCCAUUCAUGAACAUUUUUUGAAUGGUGAUAUUUUCUUCAAUUUCAUUAACAUUUUUUAUACACCAAUUUUUAAAAAGUCAUGGACGUAUUUUGAUUUCAUGAACAUUUGUUUUCAAAAUUUCGAACAUUUUUCGAGUCAGAUUCUUUAAUAAAAUUGCAAAUAUUUUUUGAAUACAUAAACAUUUUAUGAUUUAUUAAAACUUUAUUUGAAAAUUAUUUUUAAAUUUCAAAUAUUUUGUGUAUUCCGAAUUUAGUUAAAGCAGAAAAAACGGAAAAGGAUAAAAAAGGAAAUGUUAAAAACAGGCCGCCCGGACAUGGGCGGCCCAAACAGGCGGGCCGCGCCUUAUCCCUACGCGCAGAGCCCAGUAUGGGAGGUCGCUACUACAUGGCCCAGUCCAGACGUGGAUUCCCUGUGUGAAACAUUUAUAUCACUUAUACAUGACAUUUGUGGGUAAUUUGUACGACGUGCCAUAAGAAGAAAUAGCCCCUUUAUUAUUACUAGCAAAAGUGUCCGUGUGUUGUAAUGGGAGAAAUAAAAUCAAAAUCUCCAAUGACCAUGACCAUAUUUUGUUGCAUCACCCAGACACCCUAUCACUCUCAAUUUCAUGAAAUCAUGAAUAAUUUUUGAAAUCACGAACAUGUUUUAAAAUUAUUACUCAUAUUUGAAAUUGUGAACAUUUUUCAAAUUCAUGAACACUUAUACAAAUUUUCGAACAUUUUCUAAAAUCCAGAACAUUUUUGGAAUUGAUGAACAUUUUAUACUAUUUGCAAACACUUUUUAAAGAUUCUGAACAUCUUUAUAAACAAUUUUCUUUAAUCGAGGAACAUUUGUAUGGAAAUUGACGGAACAAUUGUCGAAAUUCACAAACAUUUUUUGAUUGAACUAACAUUUUUUGAAAUACAUGAUCAUUUUUUGAAUCAGUAGACAUUUUCUGAAUGACUAAACUAUGUUGUAAGUCACGAAAUAGUUUUUGAAUUUUAGGAUAUUUCUCCAUUCAUGAACACUUUUUGAAUUGGCUAUUUUUUUCAAUUUCAUUAACAAUUUUUGAUACAAAAACUUUUUAAAAAUCAUGAAUUUUAUUUGAUUUCCCAAAAAAUUGUGUUUAAAGUUUUGAACAUUUAUUGUGUAAGCAAUUGUUUUUUACAAAACAGCGACCAUAUUUUGAAUCCACAAACAUUUUAUGAUUUAUGAAAAUUUUAUGUCAAAAUACUCAUUUUUUAAAUUUUCUAAACUUUUUUGAAAUCCUAAACUAUUUAUAGUAAAAAGAACGAAAACAGGAAAGAAAAAUGAAAAUAGAAAACGAAAUCAAAGAAACAGGCCAGCCUGAAAUGGGCCGGCCCAAACAUGCGUGUAGCGUCUUCUCCCAGCGUGCCGAGAACAUUAUAGGAGGUCCCUACUGUAGAGCCGGCCCAGAUGGGGGAAUUCCCUUGUGUGAAUUUUUUGUAUCACUUAUAUGUGGCAUUGAACUCAUGAAGCAUGCGCUAUCCCUUCCAGCUCGCCGCCAUGUCUGGCUCGGACAACCAGAUGGACUUUCUUUCGUCCCUGUAAACGUUUUGAUGAUAUAAUAAAAAGCUUCGGAAUUUGUCUAAAAAAACUUAUAAGUGGCAUUGGUGGGUAAUAUUUUGCAACUUUAGAGGUAAUUCCAUGACGUACCACCAGAAGCACAAUAGCCCCUUUACUAUUAUUAGGUACUCUUUUUUCCUUGUGGAGCUUUGGAAAUGAGAGAAUUUGAAUAUAGUAACUCUCGGAAACUCUUAUUGGACGAGAGAGAUUUAAUAUGAUAUUGGCAUGGGUUCUACCAACUAAACGAAGAAGUAUUUGACUGAAUAAACAGACAAUUUCCUUUAAUCGACGAACAUUUUUAUGAAAAUUGGUGGAAUAACUUUUGAAAUUCAUAAAUAUUUUUUGAGUUAACGAACAUUUUUUGAAAUACAUGACCAUUUUUUUGAAUCUGUGAACGUUGUAUGAAUGAAUAAACUAGUUUGUAAGUCAUGAGCAGUUUUUCAAUUUUUAGGAUAUUUUUCCCUUCAUGAACAUUUUUUCAAUUGGUGAAAUUUUGUUCAAUUUCAUUAACAAUUUUUAGUGCAUAAAACUUUUUAAAAUCAUGAACAUUAUUAUUUACCAAAGAAGCAAAUUGUUUUUUGCAAAAUCAUGGACAUUUUUUGAACCCACAAACAUUUUAUUAUUUAUGAAACAUUUUUUUAAUACACAAUUUUUUUAAUUUUCGAAUUUUUGUGAAAUACUAAAUUAUUUAAAGUAGAAAAAUCAAAAACAGAAAAGAGAAAGGAAUAAUAGAAAAGGAAGUUAAAUAAUAGGCCGACCGAACAUGGGCUGGCCCAAACGGGCGCACUGCAUCUUCUNNNNNNNNNNNNNNNNNNNNNNNNNNNNNNNNNNNNNNNNNNNNNNNNNNNNNNNNNNNNNNNNNNNNNNNNNNNNNNNNNNNNNNNNNNNNNNNNNNNNNNNNNNNNNNNNNNNNNNNNNNNNNNNNNNNNNNNNNNNNNNNNNNNNNNNNNNNNNNNNNNNNNNNNNNNNNNNNNNNNNNNNNNNNNNNNNNNNNNNNNNNNNNNNNNNNNNNNNNNNNNNNNNNNNNNNNNNNNNNNNNNNNNNNNNNNNNNNNNNNNNGUAUUAUUAUUGUUUCAAAUUUAUUCAUAUAUUAUUUUCAAUUGUACAACCAUAAUUUUUCUUAUCUCUCUCGUUCCACUACAUGCUCCUAGUCAAAGAUUUUUUUUAAUAAUGGGUGUUUUUAUUAACUCAAAAUAUAGCAUCAAGCGGAUACAAAACAUAAUGAGCCACACCCGGUCUAUGCAUAACUAAGAUGCACACAGCCAAAAGCAGAAGUCUGACAAAAAUAAGAUAAGAAAAUCGACAUAUCGACAACAGUGAGUCAUGUAGUACCGACACUAUGCCUCUGUCGAAGGAGGUGGUGGAGCGAUCUGGAGAUUAUGCUGCCAUCCAUGUUGAGUAAAUAUCUCCCUGGCCACUUGCUCCAACCGCAUAGACGCCGCCAUGAACAACGGUUGGUACUCCAUUCGGUGUAGCAUACACCAUACUAGAGGCUGGGGCGCCACCUGAGGCGGGCCUAUGCGCACUUAUUUUGUCUGGGCACUUCGGUUGUCAUGUUUGGUCAUCAGUAUCACUUAUGUACAUCAAUAUGGGCGUAUGCUGUAUUGUUUGAGUUCAUUAGGAUCUAUUAGUAUCACAUCAAUCAAAGUACAUAUACUAUGUUAUUUGAGUUCAGAACCAUCAUAGGCAAUGAUACGUCUAAUAAGGAUAUAUAACAUUUAAUUCAAAAGGAAAGACAAAGUAGAAUUAAGUGCUUUAGUUUGGCCGAAGAAAGGAACCUCAUGAUGCCAUGACUAAGGAACCAAAUAUAAAAGAGCACCUUUCAGAGUACUCCAGAGGUAUGACAUCAUCCAUUUCCACAUCAGAAUCAUCGGAAUUCUCCUGAUCUUCAUUUCGAUGUACCCAACACAAAUGCUACAUGGAUUUUAGUCAGCUGCACUCCCCACUACUUCUACACUUCCCCUUUUUCACACCGACGAGCAGAGACUGAUGCAAGUUGAUCGAACACAGAACAACAUAUAAUUUCCUAGAGAUGCGCUGGGCCUGAAAGGCAACAUACCUAGCAUGCGCAUAAAAUGUGAGAGUAACAAUAAAAGAACAUACCAUUUACCGAUAUGAUUAUUAUUGCUUGCCAAAAUGAUACGUUUUGAUUACUAUUGCAUGCCAAUAUUCUUAAUCACUCCAAGCAAAUUUAACCUAAACUAAAUAUCUAAGAGUAAGCUCUGGUUUAUGUAUUUUACAGAAGUUUGGUUCAGCGAAACUUCGGAAGCAAAUGUGUGAAGGUUUUAUCAUUCUAAUUAAAGGCCUUUUGAUUGUGCAAAACUUACACUACCACAUGAGUUACUGACCAACAUGAGAUGCAAAGUAACAACAGCAUGAUAAUUUUUUUUGAAGGCAGUCAUAUUCUAAAGCAUUAAAAGAUGAAUUCCAAUGCUUUGAUUCUGUAAAGAAUUAGAUCGAUCACUCAACAGUUCUAUUGGCGCCACUAAAAUUCUGAGUGCAAUGUUGUGUAUGUAGCUAAAAUUCACCCAUCAAAGACAACCUUAAUAAUAAGCAAUGGUCAAAACAAGCAAUUGUUGAAGUUAAAUGUAAUUAGAUAGGAAGUCACAUUUGAUUCAUGACCAUCGAGCUGAAAAUGAGACCGAUAAAAGCUGAUUCACCAUGAAGAGAAACAACUAAUGUGAACCUCGGGUUGUAAAACAAAUAGGAUGAGUCGUGUGCUGAUUGCAAAAAAUUGUACUUCUAACCAAAUGACCAUGCUUCAUGAAUAGAUGACAAUAUAGUAACACGAAAGUGAAGUACGGUGAAAUUUUGUAAGCUACUAAGGGCAUAGGGCAAAGCUCACACUCCAGCUUGCACUCCUUGAAGAAAUCAACCAAAAGCACCCAGAAAGAUAAAUGGCAUUGUGGCAUCCGAUGAAUGUUGAUAACUGUACCAUCACACUAAUUUAAUCUACAAAAUUCAUGUCAACAUCACUAAUCAUGAUGUAUCAGGUUAGGAUAAAAUCAUUGUUUUUUCCCAAAAUAAAAUAAAACAAGCCCAGUUAGAAAGAAAUCAUAAGCCUAUCAGACAAUCAGGCAAUUCUGUUAGCAUGUCAACAAUCAGACAGAACAAAACCUAUAGUCCUCAUUUUUUUCUUUCUAAAAAAAGUGUAAUGCUAGAAAAGAGAGUUAAAUAAAAUGCUACGUGAAUCAGCAUACAGAAAAUUCAUAGAAGCAAUGAAGAAAAUAUGAACAAAAUUUAUGUCGAAACACCUAUACUUUCCCCACGAGCAAAUAUGUGUAAUGUUAGAAAAGGGAGUUAAAUAAAAUGUUAGGCAAAUCCGCAUCCAGAAAAUUCAUAGAAGCAAUGAAGCAAAGAUGAGCGACAAAUUUAAUCUACACACACACACACACACACACAUUCAGGCAAACAAAUUACUUCGAUUGAAUCCAUUCCUUUGCAUAUAUGGCAUAAAUGCAUCUAAGGAAAAAAAAACUUGAUGGUGUUAGUUUACCUUGCCAAGAUCAUGAAAUCCAUCUAAAUGAAUAAGAAGCUCCAACAGUGUCCGCUGGAUCUCAUGGUCGUCAUUGGUUCCCUCACUAAAUCUUCUCGCAUCAAUUGCAUCGAUUUCAUCCAUGAAGAUAAUGCAUGGCUAGAAAUAACAACUUGAUGAAAAUGAAACAAAAUUUGCAAGCACCGUAAAUAAACUAAAUGGUGAUAUAAGCUAAAAUGAUCUCAGAAGUGCACUUUUACAUAUAUAGAGAUCAGUUUGAUUUCUUCUUCUCAGGAAAAACUGAUACUGAAAUCUAAAGCUUAAAGUUUUUCUAGUGUUGAACCAGAAUACAAUUAGAUGACAUGACAUCUGAGUCAAGGGAACUAUCAAAGUCACAGCUUGAAUCUCAACACCAGUAGAUGCAUAACCAUCUGCCAACAUACGUUUCUAACAGAUAAUAAGGGAAUUAGGUUUAAGACCAAUUGGCUUUGCAAAAAAGAAAGGCGGAGCAAAACUUACUUGGCGAUCGCGUGCAUAGCCGACCAUUUCUCUGAUUAAAAGCGCACUUUCCCCGAUAUAUUUGUCAAUUAUAGCACUUGACACAAUCUGGUUUUUAGACAACACGUCAGUGUAAUGUAAUACUCACAGAAUGAAAAUACCAACCACCAUCAAUCAAGUGAAAACCACAGCUCCAAAAAGUUAGCAUGAAUGUUACUGGAUAUAGCCCUUGAUAGUAAUGGCUUCCCUGUAGAGUAGAACGCACUUGAAAAAGUUAAAGAAACAUACACUGGCUCCCAUAUAUUGAUCUUGUAUUUGACAAGUGGCCGGGCAUCAACAUUGUGCCUGCUGGUGUACCAAUUCAGCUUGUAGCUGCCAGCUAAUCUCCUUCUGAACAGUUAUGCUGUCCUCACUCACGUGCUACGCCUAUUCAAACUUGCUUAAUUUAAUUUGUUACUACUAUGUUAAUGCUGACAUAUUAACUGGCAGACCUCAUGUACUAACAGUAAAUCCCAGCAUACUUUCUUAAUUUGCUACUAUCCGGAUUUAUUCUUUUAGCGAGAGGUCAGGUAUCACUUGGAACAACUGAGUUUCUUUUUAAUCUUUGUGGACACUACACUUGAACGCCACAACCACCUGGAUAUGUCAGGCAGGACGGGCAGCAGCGCAUCAUCAGUAAGUUUAUUUAAGAGAGUAAAAUUCAGUCGCAAUCAGUCAAUCUCAAUCAGGUUCAGAUUUGGACGCGACCUUGAAUAACGAAGCCCCAACUGGGAAGAACAAGGUUGCAAGAACAAGCAGAUUGACGAUGGGUUCAUGGAAGCUUACCAGGCAGGCAGUCCGCCCGGCGGCUUGAGCAAGCUGCUGCUGGUACCCUACGCGCAGUCGCAGUCCGCACCGGCCAGGGCACACGAGCACUGACGCGCGUGCCGCCUGCCGCUUCACCAUGCCCACGUUGUAGUCGCCACCGAUUCACGGCAGGGCAGAGGGGCCUCGACCUCGUCCUCCUCCACAUCAUCAUCGGCGAUGCCCUUCCCCUCCUGACCCCAACACCAUCAUGCCCCCGCCGACUCAUCUCCCUACAGCGACGGCGACUCCGGAGGCUCCGAGACCUGGGACACCGACAUGAGUGGCUCGUCGGCAUCGGAUCUCCUCCACCCNNNNNNNNNNNNNNNNNNNNNNNNNNNNNNNNNNNNNNNNNNNNNNNNNNNNNNNNNNNNNNNNNNNNNNNNNNNNNNNNNNNNNNNNNNNNNNNNNNNNNNNNNNNNNNNNNNNNNNNNNNNNNNNNNNNNNNNNNNNNNNNNNNNNNNNNNNNNNNNNNNNNNNNNNNNNNNNNNNNNNNNNNNNNNNNNNNNNNNNNNNNNNNNNNNNNNNNNNNNNNNNNNNNNNNNNNNNNNNNNNNNNNNNNNNNNNNNNNNNNNNNNNNNNNNNNNNNNNNNNNNNNNNNNNNNNNNNNNNNNNNNNNNNNNNNNNNNNNNNNNNNNNNNNNNNNNNNNNNNNNNNNNNNNNNNNNNNNNNNNNNNNNNNNNNNNNNNNNNNNNNNNNNNNNNNNNNNNNNNNNNNNNNNNNNNNNNNNNNNNNNNNNNNNNNNNNNNNNNNNNNNNNNNNNNNNNNNNNNNNNNNNNNNNNNNNNNNNNNNNNNNNNNNNNNNNNNNNNNNNNNNNNNNNNNNNNNNNNNNNNNNNNNNNNNNNNNNNNNNNGGAGGCUCGAGCUUGGGAAGGGGGGAGGGGAACGAAGGGGUGGGGCUCCAGGCAAUCCUCACCUCCAAAGACAACUUGACCGGCAACACGGGCAGGCUAGACCUCUUCUAUGGCGAGGCCAACUUCGGCGAGGGGACGAGGUGGUGCGGGACCUUGGAGAUAUCUCCCCCGCGCGUGGAGCUUGUCCGGCGACGCCGCUGAAGAUGCCACUGCCACGACCAGCUCGAUCCUCCUUCGCUGGACUCCGAUCUGGACGAGGACUGAGCUAGGAGGAGGGAAGCGGGAGAGGAGAAGGCGCAGGAGAAGCGGCUGAGCCGGCGGCGCAGGGACCAGGGAGAGAAGAAGGCGAACGAAGAGGGGAUUGACAGAGUGGCGAAGAAGCAUGCGGGCUAGGUUUCCUUUUCUUUUUCUCCCAGCACUGCACAGUUGCUUGUCUCGUAGCUUGCCGGCAUGGCUAUGGCGAGGGCUCGCCCUUGAUGCGUAGGUUAAUGUAUUCGACUAGCGGGGCGCCUCUUGAGAGGAAGCUGAGCGGUGCUAGGUGGGACGCGCCCCUUUCCCUUUCCUGCAUAUACUAUGUAAUGUUAUUGCAUCAGAUUUAAAGUAACAUGCUCAGCUAAGUGCAAAGUGUGAUGAAUAAGUGAAACAGAAGGAAGCUGGUACAUUGGUGUAUGCCAAAAACUGAAUAUUAUAACAUAAACACAUGAAGUCAUCGACGUCUAUGGUAUGAAAUGCACAUGCACAAAAUUAGAGUGCACAUGAAGACAGAGCACUAUAGUGUCCUGAGUUGCAAGUCUCUAAGCACUGAAAUGAUCUGCAAUCAUAUGUACAAAGUAACCGAAUAAGAACAAGAAAUUUAGAGUAAAUGAGCUGUAAAAUUGUAAGUAAUGAGCAUUGGAAUUAAGGCAGAGUCAGUGACAGUUGGGUGCACUUGACAGGAAAAUCGGCGAGGCAUAAUAUGAAAUUAGAGUAAAUGAGUGCGUGCACUUCUCUUGGUGGCACCUAAAUGAAAAAAGAAACUAUUCACCUCUCGAUAUAUUCCCUAAGACCAUAUAAAAUCAGGAAGGUACUGAAGAGAGAUGCUCAAAUUCGAAGUUGCCAUGUCUAGGAAUGCUUGAAGCUUCAAAGAUUUCCUAUAAUACAGCAUGCCUCUAACUAUUCACAAUAAGAAAAACAUGUAAAUGCGGAAUCAACCAAAUGAUGGUAAAUUGUAGUUGAUUUUGGCCAAGCAAACGUCAGAUGAAAGAAACAUACAUGAGUGAACAUCACGAUUGGAUGUUUUAUUCAAAUUUAACAGGUUAAACUCACCAAAUACAUCUGGAUAUUUAGUGUUAAACUUCAACAGAUGGUCAGUUGUAGCUAGAUUCACACCACUGAAGCAAAAUUCCAUCUGCCACGGUUACAUCACACCAUCUUUUCAUCGUUACUAUUUAAAUUCCAAAAGCCUGCAACUCAUUUUUUUUGUUACGAUGUAUGCAUGAUUUUUAACUCAAGAGGAAGAGGGGAAACUAAAUCCAAGAAAAGAACACCAAGGAAGCAUCCAAAAUAGAGAAAGGAAAAAUCCAAAAUAGAGGCAGAAUCGAAGGGAAGAAACCCCAUAAAAAAUAGGAGAUCAAACGGUGAAAAAAAUCUAAGAGUCAAACAAUUCCAGGUAAGACCAAAUCGACGGCAAAAUAGCACAAGAGGGACUCACAUUAACAGGUAUACCAAUUCAGAAAGAAGUGUAAAGCAAACAGUGCAAUGGACCACUAGUAUAAAUUGGAUGUACACAAACAUGGGACUUAAACAGGAACUGCGAGAUGCAGGGUUCACGUGCAAACCCAAAAAACGGAAAACUGAAACCCACAACAAGAUUUUAUCUUCAUAUAUAUAUAUAUAUAUAUAUAUAUAUAUAUAUAUAUAUAUAUAUAUAUAUAUAUAUAUAUAUAUAUAUAUAUAUAUAUAUAUNNNNNNNNNNNNNNNNNNNNNNNNNNNNNNNNNNNNNNNNNNNNNNNNNNNNNNNNNNNNNNNNNNNNNNNNNNNNNNNNNNNNNNNNNNNNNNNNNNNNNNNNNNNNNNNNNNNNNNNNNNNNNNNNNNNNNNNNNNNNNNNNNNNNNNNNNNNNNNNNNNNNNNNNNNNNNNNNNNNNNNNNNNNNNNNNNNNNNCCUAUCUAUUAGUUGCUUCUUCCGAAUCCCCACCUAUCAAGCGUUUUCUUUGAAUAAACAAACACAAUAGUAUUCUCUGAAUUAUACUGUACAGUGAUAAUUAACCAAGCGACUGGAAUUAACAAUAUUAUGAGCUAUUGGCUUUUUAGUCAGGUAAAUAUCAUUCUUAAGACUACGGAAAACAGCAGGCGGCGAAGAAAACAUCUAUUGAUGAGAACUAUACACAUACUUAAGAAGGAAGUGACAUCUAUGGUAGCAGAACAUAUAUCAAGCUGUUGCAGCUACAUUAGCAGUUUAGCACAGUCCCUCCAUAAUACACAGGCUAGUGUAAUUUCACAAAUACAAUAAGCUAACAAUAUAUAUUUGGUAGAUGGAAAUGGCUGGAUCAUGACCAAUAUACGAUUACACAUCCGAUGAUGCAAAUAAAGAAACGAGGCCCAACAAUAGUGGAAAAUAAACCACAAUAGAACAUGUAUUUGGCGAAACCUCCAUACUGCAAUAUCAAACAUGAAUUGAAAUUAACAAUCUAGCAAAAAAACAUGACAGAUGCAGUCUUGGUCAUUUUUUCUUUUGUGACAUCCCCUAAAAAAAGUAAAAAGAAUGUUGUUCGUAUUUUACCAGAGAUACACUGAGCUGGGACAAAUCGGUCUGAAAUAAAAUAUGAUGGCUUCGGAGGAUUCGGAAGGCAAGAAAUUUGCUUUCUUCCAACAUAUAUGGUCUGCUGAACUAAACUUUGUUUCAGCGAGCUUUGGCAAAAAUCUGUAACUGCAAACAUCAAACUUGUGUGCCCUUCCUACAUCAAACUUUAAACCUGACGGAUUAAAUAUUUUAGGUUAGGCUGAGAUCAGUGUACUUUAUGAGUGUUAAGUGUACUUUCUAAAUAGCAGAGAAACCAUAACAUCUAAGCACAACCCAGCAACUUGUACAAGCUAACAUCAAAUCUGAAAGAGGAAAUGUCGAGAACAGGUGAAGGUACCAUGAUCCAUGACUGAGCAAAGUUAUCUAUAAUCCUCGGUGAAUAUCAUAAAUUAGGAUCAACAAAGCUGAAGAACAAACGGGAAAGGAACCUAGAAAGAUCUUCUGCCGGUAGAAUAUAACUGAUACACUAUCCUCAUUCUCGAGAUCAAGGUCGUUUCUUGAAUUGCAGUUUCCUCACUGUAGUAUGGGGUCAUUACACUGCGAAGAACAAAGUGUCAUAUGAAUCAUUUAGAGCCCAAUCUUUUUCACUGAAACUCUUAUGAUCACAUAACGAAUUUAAACAUAAGGUUUAUUAGAUAUUUGUUGUUGUGAACUGAUAAUAUAUUUCUGGUGUUGACAAUGUUUUGAUUAUGGAUGCACUUCAAGAUGGGUGGCACAGAUUCUGUUGUACAGGCCUCCACCUGGAAUUUCAUCACUUGUUAUUUUUGUUUAGAAUGUCUAGGUGCAUUUUUCCUUUAAGGUGGAAACAGAUGUACUUGUAUAAGCAACAAGAAUACAAAGCGCCACUGCCAUACAUUGUGGAAGUUCAAUGCUUCUGUUUACAAAAUCUGCUUCCCAAAACAGAAGGAUUUAUAAUUUUUUAUUACAAUCAAGCGGACAUGAGCUGAUGAGUACAGAUGUAAACAUGUACUGAGAGCAGCACCCUUUCAAAAGUGGAUCAUUUACAAGUUGGAUAGUUUGAUGGUCUGAAAUUAGUGGUCGUGUUUCAGAAUUGUUAUCGAAUAGUAGAGGAUAUAUAUUAACUUCUGAAAUUAGUGGCUGUUUGUCAGAACUGUUAUCGAAUAACAGAGCACAUAUAUUAACUUCAAUAAGUGGAGUAAUAUCUUUGGAUUCGCUGUGAGGAAAGAUUACCAAAACAAAACAGAAGUGAGUGCGACGACCCAGAUGAGGGCGCUCUUGAGCCUCUUCCCGACCGACCUAGAUGCAGGAGCAGAACACCGCGGAUCUAAUCAGCCAACGAAUAAAGCCGAGGCAGGUAGAGGAAGUAAGGGAGGAAGAAGACUGACUUGUCCUGGUCGCCCUCGUAGUAGAAUAUGGUGAACGGGAUGACGAGGAAGACGAGGACAGCGUCGAGGAUGUAGACGACGAGCCAGAGCGUCUUCAUGGGCAGGAUAAGGGCGCAGGCCCCGUUGUAGGCGGCGUGCUUGCAGGUCUGGCGGUUGGCGACGUCAGCGGGGAGCAUGAGGAUGGAGAGGACGGCGACGGUGAUGCCGAGCACGACGACGAGCUUGGGGAAGUAGGCCUGGUUGGCAUCAUCCGGGUGCUGGUAGUUGACGAGCAUGUAGACGCUGACGAGGAGCACCAGGAUGCUGACCACCGCCGCCACGAUCACUAGCGCCACGUUAAAAACCCCAUCUCCUCGGGGCUCCGGUCCCGGUUCCGGCCCGCCGCCUCGCCCCCGUUGGUCGGUCAGAUCUCUCUGUCCCUAGAGGCGGGGGGAUACAGGCUAGGGUUUGGGCGUGGGCGGGGAAUAGGCUGCUAUGGUGUCGGCAGCGGGGCGGCCACCGGCGGGGAGGGCGGGAUCCGCGCGGGGUGGCGGGAUUUGGGCAGGCGGUGGGCUCGGGGGAGGGCGGUGGCAGCGAAGCAGCAGGGAGGGGCUGGAGGAGAUGAAACGAAAGAGGUCGCGUGACACAGCGACAGCGUCGUCCAAUCCCCUCGCUGCCGAUUUAAAAAAAGGUAAUGAUAACUCCCGAACGUUCAGGAGUUAAGCAUGGCAACCCGAACGGGUUUAGAUGGCAAGUUUAGUUUGCGUGAGAUUAGAGAAACAUGGCAAUUUUCUGACAAAAGAAAUGAAAAAGGACGAAGUUGCCAUCCCCUAUCAACUAAAGUUGCCAUCCCUAUGAACUAAAGUUGCCAUGUAAAAACGUUCGGGAUGAAAUGCUCAAAAUCCGAACGUUCGGAAGUUAUUGGAUUCAAAAAAAAUCCCCUUGCUGCCAAUCGCUGGCCCGUUUCUUUUUUCGCCCAAUCGCUAGGUGAUGACGUGGCUAUCACGGGAAGGCGCCCUUGAUGCGUAGUCGAAUGGUUUUAAUUAAUAGGAAGCGAGUGCUUACUCUAGUUACUGAAUUAUGUACACCAAAUAAAGCCAUUUACACGUAGUUAAUGACAAAAAAAGUUGAUGUUUGCUACGCAAACGUGUAGUACAAAUUAAGAAGUGCAAGAUAAAAAAAAAUGCUGGUCCUUGAUUCGUUGUUGAUCGUCAGCAUGCCAUCAUCAAUUUGUAGUUAAUUAUCAUACAAAUUGGCUCUUUCAUAGAGUUGGAGGCUAGCUCCUUUGAUCAGCACGCGCUUAAACAUAAACAGCACGUAUAUGUUUUGUCUCCGGAGUUCAAUUCUUCAUCGGCCAGCAAAAAUGGCCCGACCGGGUAGAGGAAAAGGCAUGUUUGUUAGUACGCCUGGAGGAAAUGCCUUUGAUUAGGGCAUCUUCAACAGCGACCAGUAAAUUUCCUCCCGCGUUCGUCCACGGAUAGGGGAUCAGUCCGCGGAUACGGAUACAGGAAUCAUCUAUCUAACGCUGUCCGCGUAUAUUUCAAACACAUUUUUUUUAAAAAAAUAGGAUGAAAUUCAUGCAAACACAAUGGAUUUCAUACAAACCGGACAAAAAUGUUUACAUUUUGGACAUAUUUUUUUUACUAAAAACUCUACAGCCGGCGCCGGCGAAUAUCCACUCCGGCGACAUGGAACCCUUGACUAGUCUACUGCCGGCCGCAGCGGAUCUCCAAUGUCGUCCCCAUGUCCGGCAACUAUGAGCCCUAGAGGUAUAUGCUUCAGCGCAAAGAGCGGCUCGCCUCCCUACCGCUCAUCGGAGUGGAACAACCAGCUGAUGCUUCUGCCGAUGGAAAGGGUCCCUACGCUACACGGAUUAGAGUUGGUUUUGGGCUGGGAACGGCGGUGGCCUGCCAGAGGGCAAGACACCGACUGUGUAUGCUGGUGUCACCUGGUGUGGCAUUCGUGGGACCCAAGCGGCAGCGCCUCCUCGAUGAUGGCGGCGAGCGCGGACGUGUUGGACACCACCUCGUCGAUGUCCGUGCAGCCCGCUUCUUUCUCUGUAGGAAGGACGCGGUUACGCUCGCGUUGACAUCGGAUGACUCGGUCACAUGCACGGGAGGGGCGGUACGACAUGGCACCGCCAAUGGCAGCCAUGAUGCCCGCGCCAGCGUGCUCUCUCCCAGUGCCGACCUAGAGCAACUUGCCACUCCUCUGCUCGUGAACGGUGGGCUUGACGGGCCACCUAGCCAUUUUUUAUGCCAGACAACUCUUCUUCCUGCUCGUCAGAUGUCAUGGAUAAAACUGUUUAAGGAGGAAAAUGAUGAGUAGACGUGUGAUGCGGUUCUUGCCCAACAUCUGACAUUGUUUAAAUAGCGAGGGGACACGAGAGGAGCCAACUGGCGUUCUGUUUAAUGCCAACCGGCUCGCGAACGAACAUGUGGCUGGAGUAAUUAUCCUGGCACACACGCGGGUUUAAUGGUGGAAGGUGGGCAGUCUGCAGGAAUGAGGCGAGGAUGUGUGCUUAGCCGGCGUGCAGCAGGCGGCGCCCUCGGCCGGCGUGCUGCAUCCAUUGCGGAGGCAGUGAGAGGUCGCGUCCGCUCUGCAGCGCAUGAAUGCGGGCAGCUGGCGCAGAGCGGGAACGCGUGCGGGCGAGGGAGGAGGGGGUUUGGGCGGGUGGUCAGAAGAGGUCGUGGGUGUUGUCCGAACGCCUGCAAAGCCCCCCUCCAUGUUUGUCUCCAGUUUGCGGGAGAAAGUAUGUCCGAACCGUCUCCAAUGGACCAAUACAGGCCCGCAUUGGAUGGCACAACACGUCCGGACCAUGUGGUCCGGAUGGUUGUGGACAGUUUAAUUGAGGGUCGGCGUUGGAGAUACCUUAGAGUUUAUGAAUCCAUUGUGUUUUUCUAAUCAUAAAAAAGCACUUACAAUAAGUUAUAAGGAAAGACACGUUUAUAUGUUAGGUUCAGACUCCAGCUUUCGUUUUACAUAUGCUUUAUUCAUCCGACUGAUUCCAAUAGAGUGAGCCUAGCGUUGUUUUUCUGGAAACUCGCGGGAUAAGGAGACAUGCAUACACAUUCUUUCAAGCAAAUCACAUCCAUCCUUUUUAACUCAUUUUUCUUCUUUUAAUAAUAUAAUAGAUCAUUUAUAUUUUUAUCUGAAACAGUUGACGUGUAAUUUAUAUUGUAAUCUGAGGAUAAUGUUUGGAUUUUACUUUCAAAUAUAUUUGAAAUGGCCAUGAUGGAAUCACAUCCAUUUAUUUUAUUAUUAUUUGAAUUUGAUCCAAAAGAUAAAUAAUGAGUAGAGGUCAUGUCAACUUUUCUGAGAACUUUGCUAAUCAAAAUAUAAUUGUAUUUAAAAACAUCUAUUUUUUAGCACGCAUGAAAAAGAUAACACGUAUCUUUUCACACAUAAUGAACGGUUGUCAUAAGAACUCAUGCCAUGCCACAACCUCCCUCCGACCCUGCCAACAUUGUUGCAGCUGCACUCGCAAGCCUUAGCGUAGAUGAUAAUUUAUACAAUUUGCGUAAAACAAAAUAAGAUCUACAAAUGAAUAGAAGCUAGAACGUACAUUGGCAUGCACACACAUUGCAAGCCAUACUAAGCUGAUAAGUGUUAAUAACUUGUACAACAUAUACAACACUUAAGACAAGUAAAAGCAAUUUGAUGAGUCAUGGUCUAUCAAAGCCACAUUACUAGUCUAAUCCAUCUUAACAGGUCACACAUGAUUAAAAUCUUGUUUGUGUGCAAGUCAAGCUUAUCUAGUUUACAUGUAACAACUUGUAGAACAUUACAAAAUUUAUGUUUGCUAAUAACUUCUAGAACACUACAACACUUGACAUGUAAAAGGAAUUUGAUGAGUUAGCGUACUAAAGCAAGUUAUAUUACUAGUCUUAUCUACCUUAACAGGCCACACAAGAUUACAAACCAAGUUCUGUGCCAGCCAUGCUUAUCUAGAUUAUGCGUAACAAUUUGCAGAAAAUUACAAACUUAGUUUCAGAAAAAUAGGCAAUCUAGAUUAGUGUUUGAGCUGUAAAGUGAGUAAAAUGAGUCAUGCGUGUUAUCACACCUUUUUGGUUGUGGAAUGAUAGUGCAACAACAAGGAACUUUAAUGACCAGUUCAAGAAUACACUUGUAAGUAGUGCCACCGAACACAACAUACCAAAUUAUGAUUUUGAGAAGCAUCCAAGCACUUCCACACAAGCAAAUGCCAAUUGUGAAAGAGAUCAUGCCAUGGCAGCUAUAAAUAGGCCCGUAGCAUGACGAUCAUCCUUCCUCAUCCAUCAUUCUCAUAAGUAGAGCGCAUCAUUUAAGCCAAGCAAGCAGUGCUCAAUACAAAUCCACCAUGAAGACCUUUCUCAUCCUUGCCCUCCUUGCUAUUGUAGCAACCACCGCCACAAUUGCAGUUAGAGUUCCAGUGCCACAAUUGCAGCCACAAAAUCCAUCUCAGCAACAACCACAAGAGCAAGUUCCAUUGGUACAACAACAACAAUUUCCAGGGCAGCAACAACCAUUUCCACCACAACAGCCAUAUCCGCAGCCGCAACCAUUUCCAUCACAACAACCAUAUCUGCAGCUGCAACCAUUUCCGCAGCCGCAACUACCAUAUCCGCAGCCGCAACUACCAUAUCCGCAGCCGCAACCAUUUCGACCACAACAACCAUAUCCACAACCGCAACCACAGUAUUCGCAACCACAACAACCAAUUUCGCAGCAGCAGCAGCAGCAGCAACAACAACAACAACAAAAACAACAACAACAACAACAACAACAGAUCCUUCAACAAAUUUUGCAACAACAACUGAUUCCAUGCAGGGAUGUUGUAUUGCAACAACACAGCAUAGCGUAUGGAAGCUCACAAGUUUUGCAACAAAGUACUUACCAGCUGGUGCAACAAUUGUGUUGUCAGCAGCUGUGGCAGAUCCCCGAGCAGUCGCGGUGCCAAGCCAUCCACAAUGUUGUUCAUGCUAUUAUUCUGCAUCAACAGCAACAACAACAACAACAACAACAACAACCGUUGAGCCAGGUCUCCUUCCAACAGCCUCAACAACAAUAACCAUCAGGCCAGGGCUCCUUCCAGCCAUCUCAGCAAAACCCACAGGCCCAGGGCUCUGUCCAGCCUCAACAACUGCCCCAGUUUGAGGAAAUAAGGAACCUAGCGCUAGAGACGCUACCUGCAAUGUGCAAUGUCUAUAUCCCUCCAUAUUGCACCAUUGCUCCAGUUGGCAUCUUCGGUACUAACUGAGAAGAGAAGAACUCUAGUAGUAGAUAUAUGAUACACCGUUUUCUUAGUCCAUGGUUUGGUCGUUGUAGCGGUGAAAAAAUAAAGUGACAUGCACUAUCAUGUAAGAACCCGAACUAUACUAGUUCAAACAUGGGAAUAAAAGACAAACACAUGUCUUGUCUACAUAUGAUUGUUUGUUUGAGUUCCACUCAUGUGCCCACUCACAAGUUCACCCCUAAUUAUAUAUAUUAUGCAUUAAGUAGAUAUUUAUGUUGCAUUAAUCUAAAGAUAACAAAAUGAGUCUGAAAUUUGAAUUAAAUUGAAG